rnacentral:rRNA from 1 species
CUUCUUGAAUUAAUGUGAAGUCGGGCCUGUCCACUGAAUUUAUUUGAAGGGCCGCGGUAUUUUGACCGUGCAAAGGUAGCAUAAUCAUUAGUCUUUUAAUUGGAGGCUGGAAUAAAUGGUUUGACGAAAUAAUAUCUGUCUCUAAUAUAAUUAAAUUGAAUUUUACUUUUAAGUUAAAAGGCUUAAAUGUUAAUAAGGGACGAGAAGACCCUAUAGAUCUUUAUAAUAUAAAUUAUAUUAUUAAUUUUAGUUAUUUAUUUUAUUUUAUGAUUUAUAUUAUUUUAUUGGGGUGAUAUGAGAAUAUUUUAACUUCUUAGUUUUUAACUUUAAUAAAUGGUUAAUUGAUCCUUUAAUAUGGAAUUAAGAUUAAGAUACCUUAGGGAUAACAGCGUAAUCUUAUUGAAGAGUUCUUAUUGAUAAUAAGGAUUGCGACCUCGAUGUUGGAUUAAGGAUAUAUGUUGGUGUAGRAGCUAAUGUUAUUGGUCUGUUC